rnacentral:lncRNA from 1 species
UUACAUACAUUUUUUUAAUGCAUAAUAAAAGUUUUUUUCUUAAAAAAAGCUAAUGAAAUAUAUAUAUAUCUAUAACAAUAUAUAAAGAGAUACAUCCUUUUUUUGGGUUGAAUUUUUCUAACAUUUUUACCCUUCAUUUAAAUUAGUUUUUUUUAAGAAGUCAAAAUGAUAAACUAGGGUUAAAUGCACCGUUACCCCUUACCAUUUCAGAGAAUUCUAGUUUAGCCCCCAAUAAUUCUUUUAGAUCCCGACCUUGUAAUUUAAAAAUCUUUGCUUUUAUACCUUCUUUGCAUUUGACUGUACAAAAGAGAAGAUAUGGGUUAAGUCAAAAUUUGCUCAAAAGAUAGGGGACAAAAAUACCUUUAAUUUUAAAAUUUGAUCCUACAAAGGUCUAAAAGAGAAGAAUCUUCAAAUUACAUGGUUGCAAUCUCAAAAUAAAAUCUUAAAAAAUGGUAAAUUCUUAGAUAACCUCAUGUUUGGUUGAGUAUAGCUACCCGUAAGUAAAAUUCAAUAAAAAAUGUUUUUUUUUUUUUAUAAAUUAAUUAAUGCAAGAAAUAGGACAUAAUAUUAAAUGAGGAGGGUUAACUUUUCUUCAUAAUACCAACCUUGCAUAUUUUAUGCAUUGUCCUUACCAACUGAGCUAAGCUCACGAUUAGGGUUUAUAUGAAUUCUUCAAAUUUAAUAUAUGUUGUUAUAUUAUUUUUAAAAUUAAAAAUAUAGUAAUCAUAUGCAUUAAUUUAUCAUUCUCUAAAAAACUACUCUUUUAAUUUUUUUUGAAGGAUUUCUCCAUUUUCUCUCAUAUUUUUCACCCCUCGAAGCCUUUCAUUCCCUUCCAAACUCGCAAACAAAGUCUAAGGUACAAGAAGUGUUGAAUACUUUUUUUUUAAAUAAUUUGAUUUUCGUCCAUAUGUUUUUUAUUAUAAUCUUUGCAAGUUUUUUUUUUAUUUCAGUCCCUGCAAAUUCAAAAACAGUUGUUUUUAGUUCCUAUUGGGCCACGUUGUGUGAUAAUAUUGGGUCGCAUAUGACAUCAAGGACUAAAAACAAUAUUUUUUGAAUUUGCAGGACUGAAUCCAAACUAAAAAAACUUAGGCUCAAAGCGAAAAACACUAUAAUUAUAGGGCUUUAAUAUGUGUCUCGUCCUUGCAAUUAGGCGCCAUUUAAAAUUUCGUCCCAGUAAUCGCUACUCCUGACAAUUUACCAUUGCAUUGUUUAAUCAUUUAAAAAUUCGUCCCUUAACAAACUUAAUCACUGCCAAAUCAUCGGUUUACUGACGUGACGCUGUUAAACUGGUUAUCACUUGAAUAACUCAACUUUUGGGCAUGGGAAUGGACGAAAGUGCCCCUCUUCAUCUGAGACCAAUGCGGAAUGACAAAAAUACCCUUCGUUCAUCUUCUUCAUAAACCAACCUCUUCUCUUCUCUUUCACCGCGGUCCUCCUCUUCCAUUCUUCUUCUGUAGAUCGUCCCCUUCCUUUCUUUCUCCAUUGAAAAAACCCAAAACCCCAAUUGUUUCCUCUACAUUGAAAAUGUCUACUGACACUUCAACAAAGGACUCAUAUGAAACCUACUUCAAUGGUGGCAAGUUUCCCCCUCCCUCAUUGCCCACAUCUCGAGGGAUGCUUCCAAUGUUCCGUUGUUUACCUAUGAAGCCGAUGAUUGUUUACAUAGCAACGACUUUGGAGAAUCAAGGCAUGAGGUUCUAGAGAUGUCGCGAUUGGCAAGUAAGUUUUAUGAAUUUUUCGUUUUCAUCAUAUUGUAAACACAGUGAAUAACAUUGGAAAAUGCUUUGGUAUGUAGAAAAAAAAAACCUGUAAUGAGUUGAUUUGGGAUGAUGAACUUGGUCCAGCUACCAGACCAAUGACUCGGUGUUAUUCAGCUGUUUCAAAAUCAAGGGAAGUAGAGUCUACACCUUUGAAUGCUCCUGUGAUUCGUGAAGUUGAUUCUGCACCUGCGAAUGGACCUAUGAUUCGUGAAGUUGAGUCUGCAAAGUCUGGAAAGUCUGAAAACCAACAUUGCAAUUAUGGUGAAAUCUGGGAGAAGAAGAAAGACAAGUGGAAAAAGAAGGUGUUGGCUGAGAAGAAGAAGGUUGAAUGGCUUAAGUGGAUAAUCAUAUCUAGAUGGUUGAUCUUUGAUGUUUUCUUUGUUAAGAAGUAAUGUUAUGUAGUUUCUAAAGUUGAUGUUAAUUGUGUUAUGUUAUGGUGUAAUGUAAUGUUCUGUUGUGUUAUGGUGUUAGUGGAACCUAUAAUGUUGUGUUGUGUUGAUGUUAAGUGGUUCCCUAUUAUGUAAACUGAUGUUAUGAAUGAAAACAUGCCUUGUUAGUUUGUGUCAAUUUUUUUCUCAGAUGCUUGUAAUGAUAUUGAAUACAUAAGUUAUAAUACUUGAAUACUUAAAACACAUUCAUUCAUCCAUAACAGAUGUUUCAUACAGAGUCUUACAAAAGUAGGACUUAGCCAAG